rnacentral:rRNA from 1 species
GAUGAACGCUGGCGGCGUGCCUAAUACAUGCAAGUCGAGCGAACAGACGAGGAGCUUGCUCCUCUGACGUUAGCGGCGGACGGGUGAGUAACACGUGGAUAACCUACCUAUAAGACUGGGAUAACUUCGGGAAACCGGAGCUAAUACCGGAUAAUAUAUUGAACCGCAUGGUUCAAUAGUGAAAGACGGUUUUGCUGUCACUUAUAGAUGGGUCCGCGCCGCAUUAGCUAGUUGGUAAGGUAACGGCUUACCAAGGCAACGAUGCGUAGCCGACCUGAGAGGGUGAUCGGCCACACUGGAACUGAGACACGGUCCAGACUCCUACGGGAGGCAGCAGUAGGGAAUCUUCCGCAAUGGGCGAAAGCCUGACGGAGCAACGCCGCGUGAGUGAUGAAGGUCUUCGGAUCGUAAAACUCUGUUAUUAGGGAAGAACAAAUGUGUAAGUAACUAUGCACGUCUUGACGGUACCUAAUCAGAAAGCCACGGCUAACUACGUG